rnacentral:rRNA from 1 species
UAGGGAAUCUUCGGCAAUGGACGGAAGUCUGACCGAGCAACGCCGCGUGAGUGAAGAAGGUUUUCGGAUCGUAAAGCUCUGUGGUUAGAGAAGAACGUUGGUAGGAGUGGAAUAUCUACCAAGUGACGGUAACUAACCAGAAAGGGACGGCUAACUACGUGCCAGCAGCCGCGGUAAUACGUAGGUCCCGAGCGUUGUCCGGAUUUAUUGGGCGUAAAGCGAGCGCAGGCGGUUCUUUAAGUCUGAAGUUAAAGGCAGUGGCUUAACCAUUGUACGCUUUGGAAGCUAGAGGACUUGAGUGAAGAAGGGGAGAGUGGAAUUCCAUGUGUAGCGGUGAAAUGCGUAGAUAUAUGGAGGAACACCGAUGGCGAAAGAGGCUCUCUGGUCUGUAACUGACGCUGAGGCUCGAAAGCGUGGGGAGCAAACAGG